CUGCCGGAAACCUGCUUCUUCGCCGGAACUCCGUCUGCCACCACCUUCGCCGCCGGAGAACCACCGGUCACCGUUGCGAAUCGCCGGAGAAGACGGUCCAGACGCCGGGUAAUUCUCUUGUGCAACGACACUUGAAACAAUUCUCAUAUUCUCUUUCCAAGAAAUACGCAACGCACUCCAAGGUUGAAUGAUCAAGAAAACAAGAAUCAAGCUAGGAUGGACAUUAGAAACCCACUUAGCAUUUUGAUUAUUGUUAAAUGUUAUGUUUAUUUAUUUGGAACUAUGUAUCCCAU